GGACCUUCUCAGAGACUGGAAAAGUUGUGACACGUGGCAAAAAUUAGAAUCAGAAACUGGAGAGAAUGUCGAAGCUGGUCCCCAGGCACCUAAGCUCAAGGCUUCUGAACACUCAUUCCCCACCAGUCAGGUCCUGCCCUGGAGAGCCUUGGCAGAUGGCUUUGAAAGCAGUGGUCACCCCAAAGAGGAGCCCACAAAAG
rnacentral:lncRNA from 1 species